rnacentral:misc_RNA from 1 species
UUUCCGUAGGUGAACCUGCGGAAGGAACAUUAACACGUAUCCACGUAUUAACCAAACGGUAAUUGUAUCUCCCUAAUAAUUGUCUAGCUGUUUAACUGGAUCAUGGUGGGUAUGCAUUCGUGCAUACGAGCCGGUUGAACUCGGGCUUCGAGCUCAGAGCUUUACUCUUUAUUAGGCUUUCUUUUUCAUCAUUACCUUCCCACCUUAAGGUAUGAUGGACUAUAAAAACCUAUUUAACCCUUUUUAAAACAUUUGACUAAUACUAUUCACUUGGAGAAAUCCAAGCCUGAAUUGAGUUAUCUUAACUAAGCACAACUCUUAGCAAUGGAUAUCUUGGUUCUC